rnacentral:rRNA from 1 species
UACGUAGGGGGCAAGCGUUGUCCGGAUUUAUUGGGCGUAAAGAGCGUGUAGGCGGCUUUACAGGUCCGUUGUGAAAACUCGAGGCUCAACCUCGAGACGCCGGUGGAAACCGUAAGGCUAGAGUCCGGAAGAGGAGAGUGGAAUUCCUGGUGUAGCGGUGAAAUGCGCAGAUAUCAGGAGGAACACCCGUGGCGAAAGCGGC